AGGACGAACGCUGGCGGCGUGCUUAACACAUGCAAGUCGAGCGAGGCCCCUUCCUUCGGGAGGGAGCCCUAGCGGCGAACGGGUGAGUAACACGUGGGCAAUCUGCCCCUAGCACUGGGAUAACUCCGGGAAAACCGGGGCUAAUACCGGAUAUGACCUCUGAGGGCAUCCUCUGGAGGUGGAAAGGAUUCUGGCUAGGGAUGAGCCCGCGGCCUAUCAGCUAGUUGGUGGGGUAAUGGCCUACCAAGGCGACGACGGGUA
rnacentral:rRNA from 1 species